rnacentral:rRNA from 1 species
GAUCCUGGCUCAGGAUGAACGCUAGCGACAGGCUUAACACAUGCAAGUCGAGGGGAANCACAGGGGUAGCAAUACUUGGGUGGCGACCGGCGCACGGGUGAGUAACGCGUAUGCAACUUACCUAUCAGAGGGGGAUAGCCCGGCGAAAGUCGGAUUAAUACCCCAUGAAACAGGGGUCCCGCAUGGGAAUAUUUGUUAAAGAUUCAUCGCUGAUAGAUAGGCAUGCGUUCCAUUAGGCAGUUGGG